rnacentral:sRNA from 1 species
UCAACAACAUCUAGUCCCCACACCUCACU